rnacentral:rRNA from 1 species
UGGUUCUCCCCGAAAGCUAUUUAGGUAGCGCCUCGUGAAUUCAUCUCCGGGGGUAGAGCACUGUUUCGGCUAGGGGGCCAUCCCGGCUUACCAACCCGAUGCAAACUGCGAAUACCGGAGAAUGUUAUCACGGGAGACACACGGCGGGUGCUAACGUCCGUCGUGAAGAGGGAAACAACCCAGACCGCCAGCUAAGGUCCCAAAGUCAUGGUUAAGUGGGAAACGAUGUGGGAAGGCCCAGACAGCCAGGAUGUUGGCUUAGAAGCAGCCAUCAUUUAAAGAAAGCGUAAUAGCUCACUGGUCGAGUCGGCCUGCGCGGAAGAUGUAACGGGGCUAAACCAUGCACCGAAGCUGCGGCAGCGAACGUAUCACCCAAGACAACUUUACGGAGUUGACGAUUGACGGAGCGAAGCGACGUCAAAGCGUUCAUUAAAGUCGAGUUGGCUUAGGGAUACGUUCGUUGGGUAGGGGAGCGUUCUGUAAGCCUGUGAAGGUGUGUCGUGAGGCAUGCUGGAGGUAUCAGAAGUGCGAAUGCUGACAUAAGUAACGAUAAAGCGGGUGAAAAGCCCGCUCGCCGGAAGACCAAGGGUUCCUGUCCAACGUUAAUCGGGGCAGGGUGAGUCGACCCCUAAGGCGAGGCCGAAAGGCGUAGUCGAUGGGAAACGGGUUAAUAUUCCCGUACUUGGUGUUACUGCGAAGGGGGGACGGAGAAGGCUAUGUUGGCCGGGCGACGGUUGUCCCGGUUUAAGCGUGUAGGUGUGUGUUCCAGGUAAAUCCGGUUCACUUUAACACUGAGGCGUGACGACGAGGCACUACGGUGCUGAAGCAACAAAUGCCCUGCUUCCAGGAAAAGCCUCUAAGCAUCAGGUAACACGAAAUCGUACCCCAAACCGACACAGGUGGUCAGGUAGAGAAUACCAAGGCGCUUGAGAGAACUCGGGUGAAGGAACUAGGCAAAAUGGUGCCGUAACUUCGGGAGAAGGCACGCUGACACGUAGGUGAAGUGAUUUACUCAUGGAGCUGAAGUCAGUCGAAGAUACCAGCUGGCUGCAACUGUUUAUUAAAAACACAGCACUGUGCAAACACGAAAGUGGACGUAUACGGUGUGACGCCUGCCCGGUGCCGGAAGGUUAAUUGAUGGGGUCAGCGUAAGCGAAGCUCCUGAUCGAAGCCCCGGUAAACGGCGGCCGUAACUAUAACGGUCCUAAGGUAGCGAAAUUCCUUGUCGGGUAAGUUCCGACCUGCACGAAUGGCGUAAUGAUGGCCAGGCUGUCUCCACCCGAGACUCAGUGAAAUUGAACUCGCUGUGAAGAUGCAGUGUACCCGCGGCAAGACGGAAAGACCCCGUGAACCUUUACUAUAGCUUGACACUGAACAUUGAGCCUUGAUGUGUAGGAUAGGUGGGAGGCUUUGAAGUGUGGACGCCAGUCUGCAUGGAGCCGACCUUGAAAUACCACCCUUUAAUGUUUGAUGUUCUAACGUGGACCCGUAAUCCGGGUUGCGGACAGUGUCUGGUGGGUAGUUUGACUGGGGCGGUCUCCUCCUAAAGAGUAACGGAGGAGCACGAAGGUUGGCUAAUCCUGGUCGGACAUCAGGAGGUUAGUGCAAUGGCAUAAGCCAGCUUGACUGCGAGCGUGACGGCGCGAGCAGGUGCGAAAGCAGGUCAUAGUGAUCCGGUGGUUCUGAAUGGAAGGGCCAUCGCUCAACGGAUAAAAGGUACUCCGGGGAUAACAGGCUGAUACCGCCCAAGAGUUCAUAUCGACGGCGGUGUUUGGCACCUCGAUGUCGGCUCAUCACAUCCUGGGGCUGAAGUAGGUCCCAAGGGUAUGGCUGUUCGCCAUUUAAAGUGGUACGCGAGCUGGGUUUAGAACGUCGUGAGACAGUUCGGUCCCUAUCUGCCGUGGGCGCUGGAGAACUGAGGGGGGCUGCUCCUAGUACGAGAGGACCGGAGUGGACGCAUCACUGGUGUUCGGGUUGUCAUGCCAAUGGCACUGCCCGGUAGCUAAAUGCGGAAGAGAUAAGUGCUGAAAGCAUCUAAGCACGAAACUUGCCCCGAGAUGAGUUCUCCCUGAGACUUAG